UAGGCAUCCCCUGGAGGCUUCAGCUGC
rnacentral:piRNA from 2 species